CCUACGGGAGGCAGCAGUGGGGAAUAUUGCACAAUGGGGGAAACCCUGAUGCAGCGACGCCGCGUGAGUGAAGAAGCGUUUCGGCGUGUAAAGCUCUGUCAGCGGGGAAGAAACACGGUUCGCGAGAGCCGCGGACGGUACCCGUCCACGAAGCCACGGCUAACUACGUGCCAGCAGCCGCGGUAAUACGUAGGGGGCAAGCGUUAUCCGGAUUCACUGGGUGUAAAGGGAGCGUAGGCGGCGAGACAAGUCUGGAGUGAAAGGGCGGGGCCCAACCCCGGGACUGCUCUGGAAACUGGCUGGCUGGAGUACAGGAGAGGUAAGUGGAAUUCCUAGUGUAGCGGUGAAAUGCGUAGAUAUUAGGAGGAACACCAGUGGCGAAGGCGGCUUACUGGACUGUAACUGACGUUGAGGCGCGAAAGCGUGGGGAGCAAACAGGAUUAGAUACCCGUGUAGUC
rnacentral:rRNA from 1 species